rnacentral:rRNA from 1 species
AGUGAACGCUGGCGGCAGGCCUAACACAUGCAAGUCGAGCGGCAGCGCGGUGUAGCAAUACACUGGCGGCGAGCGGCGGACGGGUGAGGAAUGCGUCGGAAUCUGCCUCUUUGUGGGGGAUAACGUAGGGAAACUUACGCUAAUACCGCAUACGACCUACGGGUGAAAGUGGGGGAUCUUCGGACCUCUCGCUAUCAGAU